rnacentral:tRNA from 1 species
CAGAGUCUGGCCGAGCGGCUAGGCACCGGUUUUGGGAACCGGACGAGGCGGGUUCAACUCCUGCGGCUCUGACCA